GGUCUUUGUCUCUUGCUGGCGCUGGCACAGGAACUUGGGAUCCGUCUCCUCUUUCGCCUCCUCCGCUUUGGGAGCCCCGGGCUACUCUUUCACAGCCCCUGUUGCCCUGUGAUCUGUAGGUCCUUGGGGACGCACAGUUAAGAUGACAGGACAUCCUGGAAGCUGGGAAAUGGCUGAAUGCUAUCCAGUGAAUAUACGUGCCCUGUUUGUUGAAUCUACUCAUCCUUAAAGAUAUGUAUUCAUUUCCUACCACCGUAGUGGAAGAGAGAUUUUCCCUAUCUUUACAACUGAUAGCAUUUCCAACAGUAAGCUGUGAGAUUCUGCUUGAAAUCACCUCUCAAACAAAUAAAAAACAGACCUGGGAGACAUGCUACACUCAUUCUGCUGAGGAAAUAGGCAUCAUAGCUGGGAAACGGAUUCACAAGACCCAGGCUGUUCCCUACAUAUGUUUCCUCCUCCGACAUCAGUUCAUCAGUCAAUCAAGCCAUGUGAGAGUGGAGGCCUUGUAUUCCCUAUUAUUCUUGGGCACUCUACUCCAAGUAGGAAAAGGCCAGGAGGUCCUGUUAAAGGAUGCACUCAGAGCCCGGGCUCCCUAACAUAUGAGAGUGCUAACCAGCAGGUGUAGACUUUUCAGGAGUGAAGAAUGAGGCAGGCAUUCCAAACCUGGACCUUCAUCACCUUUUGUUUCAUCUCAAGACAAUUCUGAGGGACUGUUUUGGAGCGUGUCUGGAAGGUGAACCUUGAAGAAGAGUGUGGGCUUUGAUGUGACUCAGUUGAGAUCUUUCAUGGGGAGGCAGGAAUUCAAUGCCCAGAAUCUGGGCUGGUGUCUUUGAGGUCAGUAGGUUGCGUCUUUGUAUCCAAGUCCAUUGUUACUAGGUUGGAGGCUGGAGAUUCUAAAUGGCUUCCAGACCAUCUCUCUGAUUCUCUUUGGGAGAUGGGGUCUGAAAGACAAUGUCAGUAGUUUUGGGAAAUUCUAGAAAGUGUGCUUGGAAACGUGGGAAGAGCUCUUGCCUAGUGCCUAAAUGCUCCAUUUGCAGCUCUAGCCAAGUAGAUACUUGGUAGGUAUAGAGCCGGGUUUGCGUUUAUAUCAGCAAAACCUAUGUCAGAGUUGAAGAAGUAGUCAGGAAAAAGCGUCUUGGUCGCAGGCCGGGGAACAUCUUAAAAGCAAACUUCUAGCCUGCUGACUCUUGGCAAUGAGUGUUGGAUCCUGGCUAAAGUGCCUUGAAUGCAGCAUGAGGCCAAUCCAUGAAUCCAACUUCUCAUGGAGAAAUGUUAAUAUUUUUUCAGUUUGAAUCAAUCAGGGUGAAACUACCAUGCUAUUGGUUUGCUUACUUUUUAUUAUUUCAUGUAAAAUCUAAGACAAAAUACAUUAAAUGCUUAUUGACAUAUGUAUUUAUUCUUCACCAGGCUGAUAAUAUCUGCCUAAUUUUAAACUUUCUUCCAUUUUGUAGGUUUCAACUUAUUCUAUUGUAAGAUACUGUUAAAUCUAAUAGAGGCAUUGUCACUUUUACGUAUAAUUUUAUUUUAUUUCAUAUAUUUCCUAUUGGCUUUUUACAUUUAAAUUAUGGAGCACUUCAUCAUAUAAAAAACUUCAAUUAUAUUUAAACAGUAAGUCUUUGGAUUUUUUUGCCUUGUAAUUUCCAUAUUACAUAAUAAUGAGAUAAACAUUAAUGUUUUCAGGGUACUUUAAAUUUUAGAUAAUUACUCAUUGUAUUCAUGUGAAAUUUGUUUUUACUGCAUGUGUGGGUUGGAGGACUGUUUUCACUUCUGAUUCAUCUUUACUCUUAUCUCAUCAGAGCUCAUACCUCUUGUAGUUGGGGGAUUGCAGUUUAUAAUUCCAAUAAAUGGGGCAAAUUCAAUAAUAACAUAAUACAAAUGAGUUUGAAUGCAGGACAGGUCUUCAAAGCAUACACAACAUGGGCCUACAUAUGUACAACAAUAAUAAUUUAUAAGUUACUGUUUGGAUGGAAAGUAAAAGUACAGAAAAUUUGUUAAAGGAAAUUAAAAUGGAGAUCAUGUCUCAAUAAUCUCUGAGCAGACAAAAUUAGUUAGGUCUCAUAAGUGAUCUCAACCUCGCUUGAUUUGCAAAUACAAACAAAACUUAAAUUAUUUCUUGUAGCUGCAUAUUGAAAAAAGAGAAAUGAAGCUCAACCAGUCAGAAGUAGCCAACAACCUUAUAUAAAUAGAAACUGUCCAACAAGGUAAACAGACAAACAAAAAACAAUAAAAAAAGUUGUGCUACCACCAAAUGAUUUCUUUGUUUCUACAUUUUUCAAAUAAAUACUUGCUUCUUACACUGUCAAUGAAGCACUCAAUAUCUUUCCGUCUGAUAUUUUAUAAUUUAUCAAUUGCUCUUACUCAAAUAAACACUUUGCAAUUUCA
rnacentral:lncRNA from 1 species